rnacentral:rRNA from 1 species
UACAGAGGGGGCAAGCGUUGUUCGGAAUUACUGGGCGUAAAGGGCGCGUAGGCGGCCUUCUAAGUCGAACGUGAAAUCCCCGGGCUCAACCCGGGAACUGCGUCCGAUACUGGAAGGCUUGAAUCCGGGAGAGGGAUGCGGAAUUCCAGGUGUAGCGGUGAAAUGCGUAGAUAUCUGGAGGAACACCGAUGGCGAAGGCAGCCCCCUGGGUCAAGAUUGACGCUCAUGCACGAAAGCGUGGGGAGCAAACAGG